UUCAUUACCGAUUCCUUUUAAAAGAAAAAAAAUGCAAUUUUCUUAAAAGAUCAACUUCCUGCUCCUGCUUGACUGCUUCGUGCUUCGCUUCCUUCAAUUCUGCUGAUUUCCUAUCUACCAACCCUUAUAUGGUAGAUUCUGGUUCGUAAUUGAAAGGUAGGGGUUUCUUCUGGUUCGUAAUUGAAAUUAUUUACGAUUGCUUCCACUCCCAAUCCUACAGCCCAAAGCGAAAUAUCUUCUCUCUUCUAACCCAAUUCCACCAACGUUUGUUUCCCCACACGUCUUGUAAAGCAAUUCCAUUCAUAAAACAUAUAACUAAAAUCUGAUGUCGUUUCCAAGUUAAUUUGUCAAUCAGUCCUUUUUUGUCAAUCUGUCCUUUAUUCUUCCUCGUGCUCGCAUCUAUCAACGGAGCCACCAAAUUAUCGUUAUCAUAUCGACCCGAUGGGAUGUAAGGGAAGGAUCUUAAUUUCAGAUCGAGCUCACUUAUUGUUCGAUUAUCAUCAAGAAAUAGAUGGACUUCGAGAAUAUGAGCUUAGUAAAUCGUUCGUUGGCACUAGCAAGAGAGGAAUCGGGCCAUGUUACUCUAGCAAGGUCAUCCGAAAUGGCAUAAGAGUAUGCGAUGUGAAACAUAUGGACACCUUUCCUGAUAAGCUUGAUCUUUCAUUCCAAUGGUUUGUCAUCUACUUGAUUUCAUGCCUAUGGAUUAUCCUACCAGGUUUGUGAAUUACACUCUUAAUCCGAAAUAAAUCAAUCUCACAUUCUUUUCUUCUUUCCCUUGUACACUAUGUAUAUAUUGACUUAGGUUUGAUUAAGAAUGUGGAAUCAAAAUCACUACCGAAAAUUGUAGGCUAAACUACUGACCCACCAGGUGUUUGAUUAAAUGCAUCAGUGAUACGAGCCCCAAUUUUUUUGACUUUGGAUUGGAAAAAAUUCUUGCAUGUGAGAAAGGGUAAACGAAAAACCGAGUAAUUAGAAUACAGCAGUGGUUAUAUGUCUCCAAAAUACAUAAUAAAUGGCCAUUUUUCUACCAAGUUUGAUGUUUACAACUUUGGUCUUUUGCCUUUGGAGAUAAUAAAUGGGAAAAAUUGGGGAUUUCAACAUCCUGAUCAUAACUUGAGCCUACUAAGUCAUGUAAGUUUGAUGUUUACAACUUUGGUCUUUUGGCUUUGCCUUAUGGACUAAAAGAAGUUCCUUGAAACUGAUGAAACCUGUAUUAGAUUGUUUAUGUGAUUUGUUGUUGCUGUUGUAUUUUUGCUUCUUUUUGUCUUCACAGCUAUAUGAGCUUCAACAUGUUUUGAAUUCCCAUUGUUUAUUGCAAAGAUUAGAAGGGUAUUUAUGUCUUUUUCACAGAAAUGGCUAUUCACUAGCACAAUGUUUACUAAAAACAUCAUACCUUUAAAAAAUGUAUCUUGGGUUGCACGGAGAUCUUGGGUUGCACGGAGACACCAAAGAAGCUGAAGAUUGUAUUAGAUGAUGUAAUCAUGUAUUAGUUAGGACAUAAUUUGUAAAGGUUUUUUGACAAAUUGUAUAUGUUGACAGAAAUUGUAUAGAUGUUGGAUUGAGCUGAAAUUGCAAUCUACUUUUCUUAUUUA